ACAUCAUUUGUGCCCAAUCACUGUAAUACAUUUGUCAUAUAAUUUCACACAAGCACAACUAGAGUUGUUACUUGUCAUGCGAAGGCCUGAAUCUGGGUAAAUUACAUAUGGGUCAUGUAUCCAUGUGGUAUCCUAAGGUGACAACUCAGAAUCAUACAAAUAAAAUGUGAGCCCCGCACUGUUGUUAGGUAAUUUGCGAAGAAUAUCUUAUAGAUGUGGCAAACACCAUGUAAGCUUGCAUGAUGUCAAAAGACCACAUGCAAAUGCAACCUUAAGAAAAACAAUCACUAAACUUUUCCAACCAACAUUCUUUGGUACCUACCUCAUCGAUGAAAAAUAAAUCACAGGAAUAUAAAAACAAGAUGGAACAUCACCGAAACAACACAUAAUAUGUAAUGUAUAGGAAAUUUGUUUUGUCACAUAGAUCCACAUGAUCACAAGCCUAUAUAUCCCCAUCACAAAGAAGCAGCUGCUGCCGCCAUUGCUAUUGUUCGCGUAAAGGGACAAAUUAAAUGAUUGGAACCAUCAGUUCUUAUUCAUUGAUCUGGGCAUUUGUACCUUCCCAAAGGGUGUGCUACAAGAGGUGUCUUUCAAAGAAAAGGAGUGGUCCAAUAGUCACGUUUGUUGCCUAGCAAGUAGAUGACGGUUAGGGAAGAGGCAAGGACUCUCUAAUUAACAAGAGUUAAUUAGUUCUUAACACUUCUCCUUAUGAUCAUACAUAAUCUUGUUUAAAGUCUCCUCCAAAAUAAUAGAGGAGAUAUAUGCAAUAUGCCCUGAAAAACUCUUUCCAAAAAUCCAGUGGAAAAAUAAGGAGAAUAUGACAUAUCAAAUUUCUUGUAUUGCUAUUGCCUCAUUUAAAAAGUUUCUAUGAAAAAUCAUGUAGCAAAAAACUCCCUAAGGAAAAGAGUGCAAUAUCAAAGAUUUGAAUAAUCAAACAUGUUACCGUUACGAAGUGAAGUCCCCAUGUACCUUGCAAAUAACAAAGCUACCUCAUGCCAAUUCCAUUAAUAGAUUUC
rnacentral:lncRNA from 1 species